rnacentral:rRNA from 1 species
CUGGCGGCAGGCCUAACACAUGCAAGUCGAGCGGAAACAAAAAUAGCUUGCUAUUCUGGUGUCGAGCGGCGGACGGGUGAGUAAUGCUUGGGAAUAUGCCUUUAGGUGGGGGACAACAGUUGGAAACGACUGCUAAUACCGCAUAAUGUCUACGGACCAAAGUGGGGGACCUUCGGGCCUCACGCCUAAAGAUUAGCCCAAGUGNGAUUAGCUAGUUGGUUGAGGUAAAGGCUCACCAAGGCAACGAUCCCUAGCUGGUUUGAGAGGAUGAUCAGCCACACUGGAACUGAGACACGGUCCAGACUCCUACCGGAGGCAGCAAUGGGGAAUAUUCCACAAUGGGCGCAAGCCUGAUGCAGCCAUGCCGCGUUUUGUGAUAAAAGCCCCUA